AUUGAACGCUGGCGGCAGGCCUAACACAUGCAAGUCGAACGAGUGGCGGACGGGUGAGUAAUGUCUGGGAAACUGCCCGAUGGAGGGGGAUAACUACUGGAAACGGUAGCUAAUACCGCAUACCAUCGGAUGUGCCCAGAUGGGAUUAGCUAGUAGGUGGGGUAACGGCUCACCUAGGCGACGAUCCCUAGCUGGUCUGAGAGGAUGACCAGCCAAACUGGAACUGGGACACGGUCCAGACCCCAACGGGAGGCAGAAGUGGGGAAUAUGGCACAAGGGGGGCAAGCCUGAUGCAGCCAUGCCGCGUGUAUGAAGAAGGCUUUCGGGUUGUAAAGUACUUUCAGCGAGGAGGCGUUACUCGCAGAAGAAGCACCGGCUAACUCCGUGCCAGCAGCCGCGGGAAUA
rnacentral:rRNA from 1 species